GCAUGGUAGAACCCACCAUAGUUCAUUGUUCUGCUGGUAUUGGGAGGACUGGCGUCCUUAUCCUCAUGGAAACUGCACAGUGUCUUAUUGAAGCAAAUGAACCAGUUUAUCCUCUAGAUGUUGUCAGAUCCAUGAGGGAUCAACGAGCAAUGAUGAUCCAGACAGCUAGUCAGUUCAGAUUUGUAUGUGAAGCAAUUGAGCGAGUGUACUCUGAAGGCCUUGUCAAACCCUUAGCUGAGUACCAGCAAAGAUGAGAGGUUGCACCGUCAUAGUAUUGGGCACAGAUUAAUAGAGUAAAUUGUUGUACAUAUCCUAUGACUGAACUGAGGAUGAGCUGUACAUGUAGCUAAUAAAAAUAUACGAAAGUUAGCUCAUGUGAUGCAAUAUACUGUAACAGGAAAUCUGCAAAGUUCUUCAUUGAAUUUUAAGAAACUACAGACAAAGAAAAGAGGUUGUUAGACACAAGGUUCCUCUGGAGCUGUGAAGGGAAAUGCACAUCCUAUAAUAGGAUGUUCUUAGAGGAAAAUUUAUUUAUCUCGGAGAGGAUGAAUCUCUCUGGGAUUCAGCCUUUUAAUGAAAAAAAAAAAGAUAAAAAUAUAUGCAUUUAAAACUUAAGAUACCUAUUCUUGUGAAAUACAUAAGAUUCUGAGAGAUUCUUUAGUUGUAAGACAAUACAUGAAUGCUGAUAAUUUACAGUACUGCAGUUAUUGCCUAGUGUUUUUUCUGGUGUGUGGGGGAGGUUUAACCACAAUAACAACCCACCAAAAUUGUACUUGCUCAAGAUUCAAUAAUUUACCAGUUGUCUCUUGCAGCAAAGGUGGGGAAACCAGUGCAAGAUUUAUCAACAUUUGUACAGUAGUAUUUACACACUUGGGUGUGUUAUUGAAACACUUUGUGCAUGCAUUAUGGUUACCAAGAUGCCUGUUCAUAAUUUUUCAUUGGAAUGUGAAUAAUGUAUAGAUAUAGCAAGACUUCAAAACACAAAUCCUGACCCUAGUGGUGUUUCUACUCCAAGGAUAUUUUCUACUUGCUGUUGAAUAUGAACUACUAUAGUUCAUAUAAAUCAUGAGACCCACCUUGCCCUUCUCGCCAUUCGAGCCUUGUGAAGCACGAUACAAAUUCUUAAGUCAUCUUUGCAUUAUUAUUAAUACCAUCAGAUUGUUACUUGAUGACUUUUUUAUCAGUUUGCUAUGAAAUUUAAAUCUCUUUGUAAGGCUUUAAUUGAUAACUUAAGAAAUUAUAUCAUGUCACCUGCCACAUCUUUCUCUUGUCUGCUGAGGUUGUUACCAUCACAUUCAGAAAACUCCAACCAGUCAGGCACUAGUGUAGUUUUUAUAAAUUCCUGCCUGUAAAUCAAACUUUGUAAUUUGGCUUUGUUUUCUGAAAUUUUUAUUAAAAUUAUAUACAGUAUUGAUUUCUACGAUCUUGGAAGGCAGUGUAUUAAACACCACAUUACAGGGUACAUUCACCACAGUGCCUGUCCUCCAAGCAAAUAUUCAAAUAUGUCUUGACUGGUAAUGUAUGCUGACUUUGUUACCCAAGCAGUACAAGAGUUAGCCAUUACCCCUCCCACAGUCCUGGGACUCACAUGUGCCUUCCUCUUGACGAAGAGUCUGAUUCAAGCAACUGACAAUCCCACACUGGUGAUGCAGUCACCUUCCAAUAGUAAAUUGAAGCUGUUUUUGCAAUGUUGCACAGCAAAGUGCCUCUGAAGAAUUAUUGUCCUGAAUCUUCUGGUGGCAGAGGUAAAACUUAGCUACUAGAAUGGAAGUUUUAUAUUCCUACAAAAUGUUUGGAUUAUUCAGGAAAUGUCCAAUUGCCUUACAGGCUUUUUAAUACUGAAUAUAAACAGUAAGGAACUUUGGGUGCUGUGUGCCCCUAUACCACUCAGGAUAUAAUAAACACACUUUUAGACAACACACAUUGCCUUUGGUCAUUAUUAAAUGUCUAGAUUCUUUUAUUUGAGAUAAUUAAAAUGUGAAAAAGGUCAAACUUUUGUGUAGAACAGUGUAAGGUAGUUUUUGUGAUUCUAAUGUCUUAAUUUUUGUAAGCCCCCCCCCCCUCCCUUUUUUUUUUUAAAUUAUAUAGAAAAUAUCUGUAAAUUUACUGUAGUGUAAUAUAUUUUUCAUUACAACUCUACCAGCUGACUAGGAUGUUUACACUGUCUUUGUUGAAUACAAGGAACAGGUUAAAACUGAAUCUCAUGUAUUUUGUUUUACAUGAAGGUAAAAUUGUUGUACAAAGGAAAGAGUUUUAUAAAGUACAGAUUGAACAAGACAUUAAACUAUUUACCUGUCUGGAUCUCUAAGAGGUUCAGGUUUGUCCAGUACCCAGAAGGCAACUAAGUAUAGAGUAGAUGUAAGCUAGAUUAAAAUGGUCAUCUGCUACUUUGCCAAAGAAAUGAAGGGGUCUGACCAUAAUAGUUCAUGCAGGGAUAUACUGUAUAAUAAAACUGACAAAAAAAUUGUGCAGAGUCAGACUACCUAUAUCUGGUCCUUUUAUUUUCUUACCUGCUUUAAAUUUUUUUCUAAGUACAUUGACCAGUAUGUCAGAUCCCUCCUUUAUUUUGUGAUUUAUAUCCUUAUGCAUGAUAAUACAUUAGUGUAAUUUUCUUUUGUUAAAACUGUGUUGGAAUGAAAGAUAAGGUUACAUUAUAUAUAAAAAUUGUCACUUUGUAAUCGGUGAAUAGUCAUUGUAGGCUUAGUACAGUAUUUUGUUUGAACCAUUUUCUUCAUGGACAUGAAUCAUUGUGAAAGUUGCUGAUACUAAAUUGAUGGACAGGUAAUGUAUUUAAAGAUGACCAAUCAACACUGCCAAAAGUAUUGGUCACUAGUGUAAAUGAAUUCAGUUUAUAUAUACAAGUUAUGCCCUAUUUGUCUUAUUUUUAAGUCUGUAAUGUAAAGGAAUAUGACAGGGAGUGUGUGUUAUAUUUGACACAAAUGAGCAAUAAAGAGACAUGGUUUGUAAAACAA